rnacentral:rRNA from 1 species
UACGGAAGGCAGCAGUGGGGAAUAUUGCACAAUGGGCGAAAGCCUGAUGCAGCUAUGCCGCGUGUAUGAAGAAGGCCUUAGGGUUGUAAAGUACUUUCAUCGGGGAGGAAAAAACAAAACUAAUAAUUUUAUUUCUUGACGUUACCCGAAAAAGAAGCACCGGCUAACUCCGUGCCAGCAGCCGCGGUAAUACGGAGGGUGCUAGCGUUAAUCAGAAUUACUGGGCGUAAAGAGCACGUAGGUGGUUUUUUUAAGUCAGAUGUGAAAUCCCUGGGCUUAACCUAGGAACUGCAUUUUGAAACUGAAAUACUAGAGUAUCGUAGAGGGAGGUAGAAUUCUAGGUGUAGCGGUGAAAUGCGUAGAUAUCUGGAGGAAUACCUGUGGCGAAAGCGGCCUCCUAAACGAAUACUGACACUGAGGUGCGAAAGCGUGGGGAGCAAACG